AUUUCAUUUCUAGCGAUUGGAAUGAUGGGAAUCCAAACCCCUUUCAGAGUAACAAUUGGAGGGCAAGUCUGGUGCCAGCAGCCGCGGUAAUUCCAGCUCCAAUAGCGUAUAUUAAAGUUGUUGCAGUUAAAAAGCUCGUAGUUGGAUUUCUGCUGGAAGCAGCCAGUCCGCCCUUAGGGGUGCGCACUUGGUGAAUUCUAGCAUCCUUCUGGUAGCGCUUCACACUUCAUUGUGUGGAGUGUUUUUCCAGGACUUUUACUUUGAGAAAAUUAGAGUGUUUCAAGCAGGCUUGUCGCCUUGAAUACUGCAGCAUGGAAUAAUAAGAUAGGAUUUCGGCCCUAUUUUGUUGGUUUCUAGGACUGAAGUAAUGAUUAAUAGGGACGGUUGGGGGCAUUCGUAUUUAACUGUCAGAGGUGAAAUUCUUAGAUUUGUUAAAGACGAACUACUGCGAAAGCAUUUGCCAAAGAUGUUUUCAUUAAUCAAGAACGAAAGUUAGGGGCUCGAAGACGAUCAGAUACCGUCGUAGUCUUAACCAUAAACUAUGCCGACUAGAGAUAG
rnacentral:rRNA from 1 species